GAUCCUGGCUCAGGAUGAACGCUAGCUACAGGCUUAACACAUGCAAGUCGAGGGGCAGCAUGGUCUUAGCUUGCUAAGGCCGAUGGCUACCGGCGCACGGGUGAGUAACACGUAUCCAACCUUCCCGUUACUCUGGAAUAGCCUUUCGAAAGAAAGAUUAAUACCGGAUAGUAUCGAGAGAUUGCAUGAUUACCCGAUUAAAGAUUCAUCGGUAACGGAUGGGGAUGCGUUCCAUUAGGCAG
rnacentral:rRNA from 1 species